rnacentral:rRNA from 1 species
ACCGUAGUAAUUCUAGAGCUAAUACAUGCAAAGAAUCCCGACUGGUGACGGAAGGGAUGUAUUUAUUAGGUCCAAAAUCAAUACGGCUAGGAAAAAUUGAUGAUUCAUAAUAACUAAACGAAGCGCAGGACUUGCUCCGGCGCUGAUACAAACGAGUUUCUGCCCUAUCAACUUUCGAUGGUAGUAUAGGGGACUACCAUGGUCGUAACGGGUAACGGGGAAUUAGGGUUCUAUUCCGUAGAGGGAGCCUGAGAAAUGGCUACCACUUCCAAGGAAGGCAGCAGGCGCGCAAAUUACCCAAUCCUGAUUCGGGGAGGUAGUGACAAGAAAUACCAUUGUCGGACACUUUGUGUACGAUAUUUGGAAUGAGUACAAUUUAAACACCUUAACGAGGAACAAUUGGAGGGCAAGUCUGGUGCCAGCAGCCGCGGUAAUUCCAGCUCCAAUAGUGUAUAUUAAAGUUGCUGCGGUUAAAAAGCUCGUAGUUGGAUUUCGGAAUGCGUUGGGCCAAAGCCCGUCCUUGUGGCGUGGCUGGGUCUAUGCUUCCUUCUUUUGGAUAGUGCUUUAUUGUGCUUCCAAUGAUUUACUUUGAAAAAAUUAGAGUGUUCAAAGCAGGCGUAACCUUGCCAUUGAAUAUUACAGCAUGGGAUAAUAGAAUAUGACAUUGGUCUUAUUUUGUUGGUUUCUAAGGCUGAUGUAAUGAUUAAUAGGGAUAGUUGGGGUCGCUCGUAUUGAGUUGUCAGAGGUGAAAUUCUAAGAUUUACUCAAGACGAACUAAUGCGAAAGCAUUCGACAAGGAUGUUUUCAUUAAUCAAGAACGAAAGUUGGGGGAUCGAAGAUGAUCAGAUACCGUCGUAGUCUCAACCAUAAACUAUGUGGACCAAGGAUCCGAGGACGUUACAUGGAUGACUCUCCGGGCACUUUGUGAGAAAUCAUAAGUAUUUGCAUUCCGGGGGGAGUAUGGUCGCAAGGCUGAAACUUAAAGGAAUUGACGGACGGGCACCACCAGGAGUGGAACCUGCGGCUUAAUUUGACCCAACACGGGGAAACUUACCAGGUCCGGACACUAUGAGGAUUGACAGAUUGAGAGCCCUUUCUUGAUUUAGUGGGUGGUGGUGCAUGGCCGUUUUUAGUUGGUGGAGUGAUUUGUCUGGUUAAUACCGUUAACGAACGAGACCUUAACCUAUUAAUUAGUGACGCGAAUCUGGUGGCAACAUCAAUACGAUUCGUGGUUAGCACUUCUUAGAGGGACUCUCGGCAUAUUCUAGCCGAUGGAAGUUUGAGGCAAAAACAGGUCUGUGAUGCCCUUAGAUGCCCUGGGCUGCACGCGCGUUACACUGACAAUUGCAACGAGUGAUUUUCCUUGCCCGAUGGGGCUGGGUAAGCUUUUAAAAGAUUGUCGUGAUGGGGAUUGAACCUUGCAAUUAUUGUUCAUGAACGAGGAAUUCCUAGUAGGCGCAGUUCAUCAAACUGUGCCGAUUACGUCCCUGCCCUUUGUACACACCGCCCGUCGCUCCUACCGAUUGAGUGGUCCGGUGAGGACUCAGGACGGCAGUAUUUUAGUUUAUCCGCAAGGGUAAGCGGAUACAGCCGGAAUUUGUUCAAACCCUACCAUUUAGAGGAAGGAGAAGUCGUAACAAGGUU